rnacentral:tRNA from 1 species
UGGCUCAGUUGGUAGAGCAUGGUGUUUGCAACGCCAGCAUGGUGUGUGCAACGCUAAGGUUGUGGGUUUGAUUCCCAC